UACGAAGGGGGCUAGCGUUGCUCGGAAUCACUGGGCGUAAAGCGUGCGCAGGCGGUUUUGUAAGCCAGAUGUGAAAUCCCCGGGCUUAACCUGGGAAUGGCAUUUGGGACUGCAAGGCUUGAGUGCGGCAGAGGAGACUGGAAUUCCUGGUGUAGCAGUGAAAUGCGUAGAUAUCAGGAGGAAUACCGAUGGCGAAGGCAGGUCUCUGGGCUGACACUGACGCUCAUGCACGAAAGCGUGGGGAGCAAACAGG
rnacentral:rRNA from 1 species